rnacentral:lncRNA from 1 species
UGACAAGCAGCUCAAGCACUGAAGUGGGGAAACUCUCCCAGCUUCUCCCAAGGACCUGGGAAGACACACCGAAUUUGCUGCAAUAGAAAAGCUGUUGGCCAAAGUACAAGCCUGAAGAAAAUAACACACCUUGCCAGUGGACAAGGAGGAUGGUGGGAGUAAAGGCCUUAUGAAGAUUCAGCUGAAAGACUCUGGGUGAGUUGGGGUCCUGUAUCAGGGCUGUAUUAGUUAGGAGGGGCAGACAUCCAUUACACAAUGAUAUGACAGCAUUUUUCUUCUUUAAUUGUAGACUUUUAUUGAUAUGAAUGGUUAUGUGCAGUUUUUCUGCACAGAAGCUUCACAAGUGCAGGACUUCGAGUCCAUGAAUAGCGUUAUGUGUAAAACUCUGUUGAUAGUACGGCACAGAGGCUGCACUCUCCUAUCCCCUUGUUUCAGCUAGACUGUCCUUUCUGGCUGCAUGGAUCUCCUUCCCCACCUGCCACCUGGAGAUGUGUAGUACAGGCCAGGUUUUGAGCUGGUUCAUCCCACAUAACGCAAGAGUAGGAGGGACAAGUGACAGCCACAUCUUAAUCAGCAUGAAAUAGAGAAUUGAGGCAGAGUCUAGACACGCUUUUUGCCUGCUGGUUGUUUUGCUUUGACAUGCAUAAUAACAAACAUAACGAGCGUGCCAGUAUUUAUGCUUUUGAACCAGGCAGCAUUGAGGAUUGCCCUCUUUGUUCUUUCUGCAUUUCUGUGACUCCAAAAAAUGCCCAAAUGCCUCGUUAUCCGACUGGUGUAAAUACACCAUGGCUGAUGUAAUUCAAUCGAACAGCUCAAGAUCCAAACACCUGAUAACAAGGAGAAUUGUUGUGUGAGUCUUUCAUAUCUGUGUAGAUGCUAGAGGCUGAUACCAUGUGGCAGGAGCCAGGAGCCAGUGUAGCUGCGAGGAAAGGGACCCACAGAGACUGCGCCAGCUUAUCUCACCUGUGCAGAGGUAAUCAUGAAGGGGAAAAUAAUGAGAAGACAUUUAAGAAGCACAACAGGAGAGGUGAGCAAGUUACAUUCAGGAGAAUACAUAAAUCAAGGGUAGGGAUCCUAGUAAAGACGGA